AUGGCGAGAAGGUGGCAGGUCUGGGGCCGGCCCGACGGCAGCCAACUCUGGAUCCCCGCCCCCGACCCCGACGCGCCGCCGCCGCCGCCCGCCGCGGCCCCGCCUCUUCCUCCGCCGGGGCGCGCCGCGGGGACAGCCGCCGCUUCAUUUGAGGACGCGCAGGUCAAAGGCCGGGGCGCUGCUGACGGAUGCCGCGUCGAGUCCAUGGCCGACCUCCUCGUCCAAGCGCGGAACAAGCUGCUCGAAGGUGAUGGGAUGGCCGGAGCAACCGGGGAUGCAGGAAAAGGCAAGCUGUUCUGCACUGGAUCGGGGAGACCAGUGUCCCUCAGCGAGAGGGCUAUAAGGAAGGCCAGGGCGUUGGUCGGGGAGGAUGUGGAGAAGGCUGGUAUUAAGAGAAAGCAAUCAUUUGGCGAUGUACCUGAUGUAGAGGGCGGAUUGAGAGAAAUGGGCGCCCCAUUUAGAGGUGGAACCAUGCCCCCAUUGUUCCAAACUGGGUCAGGAAAAGCGGUCUUGCCGGGCAGGAACUCAAUCCAAAAGGCAAGAGCUAUUUUAGAAGAUGUUGAUAGUGCUGCUGGUGCCGCACAACCAAUGUUCCGUACUGGAAUGGGUAGGGCGGUUCCUGUGAACCGGACCCUUAUUGACAAGGCAAGAGCUGUUUUGGAGGGACAAACAGCUGUAGAACAAGGUCAUUAUGAUGAGAGUGUGGACGGCAUGGAACAGUUUCCAUUGUUCCAAACUGGUUCAGGAAGAGUUGUAUCAGUCAGUUCAGCAUCUGUUCAGAAAGCUAAGUCUGUGUUGAAGGAUAAUAAUACAAGCAAGGAAAAUACAGAGAGUUUUGGUAGGCCUGACCAUACAGAGAGUUUUGGUAGGCCUGACCAAACUGGUUCAAGAAGACCAGUCAUGAUCAGCGAAAGAUCCAUUGAGCGAUCUAUAGAUGCGGUGAAUGAGGGAGAUGCGGAAAAGAGUGGACAUUGGGAUACUGGUUGCCAGUUCCCAAUGUUCCAAACAGGAUUAGGGAAGCCUGUUGCUGUGAGCUGGAACUCAGUUCAGAAGGCAAGGGCAGUAUUGGAGGAAGAAAAAAUUAAAACAACUGGACAUGGAGAUAGCAGUUUUUGCGCCACAACUCUUCAAAGUGAAACGCCAAGGUCUGUUUUGAUGAGUAGCAGUUUGAUCAUGACUGAUAGAAGUGUUACACCGAAUGGAGAUAGUGCAGUGCAAGAGAAAAAUCACGAGGAUGGCAACCACUUGCCGUUGUUUCAAACUGGGUCAGGGAGGUCAAUUGCUAUAAGUAAGAGCUCAUUUAAGAGGGCAACUGCAGUUCUGGAGCCAAGGAAUAUUACAAAGGAAUUGGAAGAUGAAGCUCAUUUAGAUGGUGGCCAUGAUACUCCCAUGUUCAAAACUGGAUUAGGAAGGUCUAACUUAGCAAGUGAUGGCUGUAGAACUGAAUUGUGUAUCUUAGAAGCUGAAGAAGCAGUCAAAAGUGUAAACAAUUACAACAGAGAAGCCUUUGUUGAAGUGCCAGCGUUCCAAGCUGGGAUACAAACGUUUGUACCCCAAAACAGAAGUUCAAGUCGUAAGGCCAGUAUGCUUUUGGAGCAACGAAACUUCACGGAGAAAGGAUACAAAGACUCUGGAAGUCAACUGCCAAUGUUUCGAACCGGAUCUGGAAAGUCAGUCUUGAUUAGUGAAAGCUCAGUGCAGAAAGCAAAGGCUGUUCUGGAGGAAGAGGUCAAAAUAAACAGAGAUAAUCAUAAUCUCCUUAACAUGGACAAAAAUAUUCCUGUCUUUGCUUCACCUCUCAAGACAAGCUGUGCAAGAACAGUUAAUAUAUCUUCAGCUGGUGUAUCUCGAGCUGCUACUUUGUUGGGCUUGGAGGAGAAUACCCUUUCAACACAAUUUUUUGGACAUGUGGGCGAUAAGCUUGGCACGAAAAUAAAAUUUGAACGGAAAAAUCCAGAACAGAGGCUUGCAUCUGGUCCAACAGAAAACCAAGUGCGUAAGGAACCACACCGGCCAUUUGAACUUUCUAAUAACACAGUUUCUGAUUCUGGUGAACAUUCUAUCAGAUUCAGUACCGCGGGAGGCAGAUCAAUGGCUAUUUCUAGUGAUGCACUUCAACGUGCGAGAAGCCUUCUGGGUGAAUCAGAUCACGUGGUUUCAACAAAUAAUUUAGUAGGCUGCUCUUUGGCAUCUGCAUGUAAUGUUGAGAUGCCAAAUUCAACCGUCGCCCCAAAAGGUGGACCUGAUUUAUCAAAAAUAAGUAGGGUCAAUGGAAAAACCGAACUUACAACAUUUUCCCACCAGGCAAUGUCUGAUAGGAAGCACACUGGAUCCUUUGAAAAUGCUGUACCUGUUAUCCCGGCGACUAACAAACAACCCAAUAUGUUUCAUGUUGGGAGUCGUUCAAUCAGUGAAAUUCCAAAGAUCCCGAAGCCCUCUUCCAUGUGUUUAUCUGAAACUGACAAUGCAAAUGACACUAAAGAUAAGACCCAGCGACUCCAUAUGCCAGCUGGAGCGUUGGUUGACAUUAGUAACUUCAUGGGCACACAUUCUGGAAAUAUUGACCAUGCUGUUAAUGAGAAGAGAAGAAUUGAGGGAAGAAACACUGCAUCUUCCUUUAAACGCCCCCGCUCUUCCAGAUAA
rnacentral:rRNA from 1 species